rnacentral:rRNA from 1 species
UAACAAGGAUUCCCCUAGUAACUGCGAGUGAAGCGGGAAAAGCUCAAAUUUAAAAUCUGGCGGUCUUUGGCCGUCCGAGUUGUAGUCUGGAGAAGUGCUUUCCGCGCUGGACCGUGUACAAGUCUCUUGGAACAGAGCGUCGUAGAGGGUGAGAAUCCCGUCUUUGACACGGACUACCAGUGCUUUGUGAUGCGCUCUCAAAGAGUCGAGUUGUUUGGGAAUGCAGCUCAAAAUGGGUGGUGAAUUCCAUCUAAAGCUAAAUAUUGGCGAGAGACCGAUAGCGAACAAGUACCGUGAGGGAAAGAUGAAAAGCACUUUGGAAAGAGAGUUAAACAGUACGUGAAAUUGCUGAAAGGGAAACGCUUGAAGUCAGUCGCGUCGUUUGGAACUCAGCCUUGCUUUUGCUUGGUGCACUUUCUGAACGACGGGCCAGCAUCGAUUUUGACCGUCGGAAAAGGGCUAGAGUAAUGUGGCACCCUCGGGUGUGUUAUAGACUCUGGUCGCAUACGACGGUUGGGAUCGAGGAACGCAGCGCGCCGCAAGGCAGGGGUUCGCCCACUUUCGCGCUUAGGAUGCUGGCAUAAUGGCUUUAAACGAC